CCUACGGGAGGCAGCAGUGAGGAAUAUUGGACAAUGGGCGCAAGCCUGAUCCAGCCAUGCCGCGUGCAGGAAGAAGCAUCUAUGGUGUGUAAACUGCUUUUGUACAGGAAGAAACACUCCCUCGUGAGGGAGCUUGACGGUACUGUAAGAAUAAGGACCGGCUAACUCCGUGCCAGCAGCCGCGGUAAUACGGAGGGUCCGAGCGUUAUCCGGAAUCAUUGGGUUUAAAGGGUCCGUAGGCGGUUUAAUAAGUCAGUGGUGAAAUCUGGUCGCUCAACGAUCAAACGGCCAUUGAUACUGUUAGACUUGAAUUAUAAGGAAGUAACUAGAAUAUGUAGUGUAGCGGUGAAAUGCUUAGAUAUUACAUGGAAUACCAAUUGCGAAGGCAGGUUACUACUUAUGGAUUGACGCUGAUGGACGAAAGCGUGGGGAGCGAACAGGAUUAGAUACCCUGGUAGUCCACGCCGUAAACGAUGGAUACUAGCUGUUCGGAGCAAUCUGAGUGGCUAAGCGAAAGUGAUAAGUAUCCCACCUGGGGAGUACGUUCGCAAGAAUGAAACUUAAAGAUAGUACGACGUGAGACGUAGCGACGAGACACGACGGGAGGUUAGG
rnacentral:rRNA from 1 species